rfam:Apaloderma vittatum contig88331, whole genome shotgun sequence.
GAACCGGUUAGCUCAGUGGUUUGAGCGCGGUGCUGACAACAAUGACGACACCGAGGUCGCGAGUUCAAUUCCCGCUCGGUCCC